GACGAACGCUGGCGGCGUGCUUAACACAUGCAAGUCGUACGGUAAGGCCCUUUCGGGGGUCCACGAGUGGCGAACGGGUGCGUAACACGUGAGUAACCUGCCCACAACUUUGGGAUAACGCUAGGAAACUGGUGCUAAUACUGGAUAUGUGCUCCUGCUGCAUGGUGGGGGUUGGAAAGCUCCGGCGGUUGUGGAUGGACUCGCGGCCUAUCAGCUUGUUGGUGGGGUAGUGGCCUACCAAGGCGGCGACGGGUAGCCGGCCUGAGAGGGUGACCGGCCACAGUGGGACUGAGAUACGGCCCAGACUCCUACGGGAGGCAGCAGGGGGGAAUAUUGCACAAUGGGCGCAAGCCUGAUGCAGCAACGCCGCGUGCGGGAUGACGGCCUUCGGGUUGUAAACCGCGUUCAGCAGGGACGAAGCUUUUUGUGACGGUACCUGCAGAAGAAGCACCGGCUAACUACGUG
rnacentral:rRNA from 1 species